rnacentral:other from 1 species
GUUGUGAUUGGCUUUCAAAUUAACAUCUUUGAACCAUUGGAAAUAGU